rnacentral:vault_RNA from 1 species
ACUUCAGCUUAGCAUAGUGGAUACUUCGUAUUUAUAAUUGAAUAUGAUCACCUUCGGCGUUGGAAGAGAGCUUAGUUCUGGACUGGGUUCGAGCCGGCUAGGAGACUGCGGCCUAGUUCCACGUGCGCCGUCUGACCUUCUU